UAUAGCAGUAUCAAUCUCUGUUAGGCUGUAAAAAUGCAAAGACUUCAAAAUGUGUACUGAAGAAAGGAAAAUACUCUAAGAAUUUAUGUAAGCUCUAAAAAGUUCUUACAUGAUUCAGCUCUUCUAUUAGUUGUUGAAGUGUGUUUUUUCUGAAAUUUGUGCAGGUGGUGCAGUCAGAAAUGCAUUCCAAAAACUAAAGAUGCACAGUAAUGCCAUACAGCCUGAAUUUGAAAAAAAAGUCUCUCUUUCUAUGCAAAAAUCAGCACCAGAGGCUCAGUGGCACUAAUUGGAUAGUUUAG
rnacentral:lncRNA from 1 species